rnacentral:rRNA from 1 species
CCUACGGGUGGCAGCAGUGGGGAAUAUUGGACAAUGGGCGAAAGCCUGAUCCAGCCAUGCCGCGUGUGUGAAGAAGGCCUUCGGGUUGUAAAGCACUUUCAGUGGGGAAGAAAGCCUUGGGGCUAAUACCCUCGAGGAAGGACAUCACCCACAGAAGAAGCACCGGCUAACUCCGUGCCAGCAGCCGCGGUAAUACGGAGGGUGCGAGCGUUAAUCGGAAUUACUGGGCGUAAAGCGCGCGUAGGCGGUCUGAUAAGCCGGUUGUGAAAGCCCCGGGCUCAACCUGGGAACGGCAUCCGGAACUGUCAGGCUAGAGUGCAGGAGAGGAAGGUAGAAUUCACGGUGUAGCGGUGAAAUGCGUAGAGAUCGGGAGGAAUACCAGUGGCGAAGGCGGUCUUCUGGACUGACACUGACGCUGAGGUGCGAAAGCGUGGGUAGCAAACAGGAUUAGAUACCCGGGUAGUC